UACGUAGGUGGCAAGCGUUGUCCGGAUUUACUGGGCGUAAAGCGCGCGCAGGCGGUUUGGAAAGUCUGUGGUGAAAUCUCUCGGGCUCAACCGAGAGGGGUCUGCAGAUACUCCCAGACUUGAGUGCCGUAGACGAAGAUGGAAUUCCGGGUGUAGUGGUGAAAUGCGUAGAUAUCCGGAGGAACACCAGUGGCGAAGGCGGUCUUCGAGGCGGUAACUGACGCUGAGGCGCGAAAG
rnacentral:rRNA from 1 species